CCCAAAGACACCGCCGGCUUACAAGUCCGUUUCUCUUGUGAUCAUCUUCUGCAUUCUUCCUGGCUCGCACUGUCUUCCCUCAAGGUCAUCGGCCGCUCGAACUCUCGCAGAUGAUAAUCACAACAAAACUGGGAUGGGCGGGAGCACGCCGUGGCAAGAUGGCUCGUGGAGUGGCAAUAGCUCGCCUUUGGGCAACACCCUGUUGUCUCCGCCAACCUUGGCCACUCAUAUUACCAUGGCUCCUCCUGUGACCACUGUCGCGACCUCUCAUAAUAAUAAUAGCGACCAAAAUCCUAGACAGCGUCCUUGAUGGUUAAUUCCUGGCCUUUUGGUAAUUUGGUGGCCUUCACAAAGCAGUGCUCACGAAGGAGGAAGAAAAUAUUGUUUUUCCUCUUCAUUCAAUCGUUUUACACAGUAUUAAUUGGUCACUGGUGUAUUUCUUCGAAUAAUGAAAUAAUCUGAGCUAUUGCAUACAA